AUGCCGUACUUCUGGAUGAGCCACUCCACGAUGUCGUUCCCUGGGGAUCGUGGCAGCGCUAUGGUGCGAUGCGGUGCCCCGGUCCCAGGGGGCACGUGGGGUUACGGGGCACCCCAGGGAGCGCUCAGCCAACGCAGCGUGGCUCCCAGCCGCAGUUCUGAGCACGUUUCCGAGCGCCGGGCGCUGCCCGCUGUGCCGUGCCACCCGAGGGGCCGUCCCCGCGCACCGCUCCCGUCCCCGCCACCGCGUCGCCCCGCGCGCGGGGGCCCACCUGUCAUGGCAUGCGGGAUGACGGUGAUGAGCAGCCGCUGGUUCCUCAUCUUGACGCCCAUGUCCGGGUCCUGCAUGCUGACGAUCAUCCGCUCCAUCUGCGGGGCACCGGGCGCGCUCAGCCCCUCGGCGGGGGGCACGGGGCGCGGGGACAGCCCAGACGCGGGGCACCUCGCAGCCGGCAGAGCCGUCUCUGUGCCGGGGGAGCUCCGCUCGUUCCCCGCGGAUCCCGACUCCCGGCGCGGUGUUCCUGCCCCGCGCCCUGCCCGUUGCCGGCUCACCUUGCCCAGGCACGGCAUCUGCAGGCGGGGCUGCCCGCCGCCGCGGGGACCGCCGAUGGUCAUAGCGGGUGCGCGUCCCGCACCGCUCCGCUCCGCCCGGGGCUGCGGCUUCCCCUGCCCCAACCCCGCCCCGCCCCGCCCCGCCCGUCCGCCCCGCGCUCCCCCUCGCGGCUGCCGCGCUCCGGUGCCCGCCCAGUGCCCCUCGGUGCCCCCCGGGGCCGUGCGGGGCCGGGGGCGGCCGUCGGGACCCGGAACCCUUCGAGGGGCGGCGGGCGGGGAGAGGACGGGGUGCGAGGGAGCGUGCGGGAUGUGUGUGUGUGCAGGAGGUGUUCGGGAUAUGCUGGAUGUGUGUGCGUGCAGGAGGUGUCUGGGAUAUGCGGGAUGUGUGUACGUGCAGGAGGUGCGGGGGGCGCGUGCGGGGUGUGUGUCUGUGGGAGCUCUAUGGGGCGUGUGCGGGGUGUGUGUCUGUAUGCAGGAGGUAUUUGGGAUAUGCGGGAUGAGCGUGUGUGCGGAAUGUACACGGGGUGUGUGCGGGGUGUGUGCGUGCAGGAGGUACACGGGAUGUGCGCGCUGUGCGUAUGCAGGAGGUGUGCGGGGCGCGUGCGGGAUGCACGCCAGGAGCGGACAGCGGCGUUCGAGGCGCGUUCAGGGCACGGGCUGA
rnacentral:lncRNA from 1 species